rfam:Dysgonomonas wimpennyi 16S-23S ribosomal RNA intergenic spacer, partial sequence; and tRNA-Ala gene, complete sequence.
UCUGGUGCCGAUGCGCUUAGGGGAGACACCCGUUCCCAUCCCGAACACGAUGGUUAAGACUUAAGCGGCCGAUGGUACUAUGCUGGAGACGGCAUGGGAGAGCAGGUGGGUGCCAGAU